rnacentral:lncRNA from 1 species
AUGGGACGAACGGCGCGGAAACUUCAGACGCCCAGCUGCACCGCCCGCCCCACGGAACCGGCCUCCCGCUUCGGUUCCAUCUCAGCAGGACCAGAGAGUUGGCAGCCAACAGUUUCGAAAGAGCCAGCAGAUACCAUCUUGGCCGUCACAGUCGCAAGAACCUCGCUGAAAGCAACCACGAAAAUGACUCGUUGGGGGGGGAAUGUGUGUGCUUCUGACUGUAAUGUUAACUCUGUGAAUGAUUUUGGUUUUGAAAUAAAACCCAAAAAACGUCACAUUGAGAGCACAAUCCUACAGUCCUCUGCAGAAUCCUCUGCCGAAUCCUCACACAUGUUCCCCACACCAAGCACUGCGACACACCUGCAUGUUCACGCAGUCAGUCAUAUCACACGGCCAGCUGUGCCGGUGCGCUCCAUUUGCACACCGGCCCUAGCUUCCAGCCAGGCCCAACACAUCCCGCUCCCCCCACAACGUAGGGUGGGACGGGAUGUCAUGGCGCUAUCACGACCACGCGCAGCGACUCAGUGUGCGGCUCCAUCCGCUGGCACUUUGUCAUCCCCGUGCGUGGGUCCGGCUUCCACUCGUCCUUUAUCUUUGGACUCCAAGCUCCGCGGUGUGGAUCAGCCUCUUCCAGCUGUUUCACACUUGCCCUUUCGAGCGCAGCCCUCCAUGGGCCUCACCCAGUUCUCUGGUGUGAGCGACGGCGGUAAGGGCGGGAACCCUGUCCUCAGACGUCGUUCACGUAACCUCGAACAUGCGUCGGCUGUCGGAACGCGCACAAGAAUGGCGCCGCCUUUGUCUCAUGAGCAAAUGGAUAUCGGACACCAUUCAUUACGGUCACACACUCCAUUUUCAGUCCGCUCCCCCUCCCUUCAACGGGAUCGUGGAGACGACGUUCACGUCACAGGAACAAUCUCAGGCCCUGGAGCUGGAGCUGGAGCUACGGGAACUUCUGUCCAAGGAUGCCAUUUCCCAAGUCCCUCGUGGACAAGAGCUCUCAGGAUUUUACUCCCGCUACAUUGUAGUACCGAAGAAGUCGGGAGUAAUGAGACCAAUUCUUGA